rnacentral:rRNA from 1 species
GACGGAGGGUGCAAGCGUUGCUCGGACUCACUGGGCGUAAAGAGCACGUAGGCGGCUUUGUAAGUCUGAUGUGAAAGCCCACGACUCAAUCGUGGAAGUGCAUUGGAUACUGCAUAGCUAGAGUGCAGGAGGGGUAAGCGGAAUUCCAGGUGUAGAGGUGAAAUUCGUAGAUAUCUGGAGGAACAACGGUGGCGAAGGCGGCUUACUGGACUGUUACUGACGCUGAGGUGCGAAAGUGUGGGGAGCGAACAGG